UUAUUAUCAUGCAACUCCAUGCCACCAUUCCAGUAAAGACAGUAUAUUCUGGCUUCCACUGAAGGAAAAACAAGUGUCAGCUUUGGUAUCUAAAGCAUCAUAAUGAACCAUAAUGAAUGGAAUAAUUUUACCUCAAAAAAGCAAGCUUGAUAUUCCUAUAUUAUUUGCCCCUCUUUCUAUGAAAUUCUAUGAAACUUUUCUUGUUAUUGAAGUUAAGAAAAUAGAUGAAGAAAACUGGAUUUAUGAUGACACAUUUGAAUUAAGGGAAGCAGUAAACAGCCAAACUGUAAUAAUAAAGGAUGAAGAACUUAAAGGACUUCGUUGGAUCUACCCAAUUUAUGGAAUUCCUGAAGCUCCACCCAAUGAAUCAU